AUUUGACACUACUUGAAUGCUUUUAAUUGUUCAGAUCAGUUUAUGCUUUUGCAUCUCUCUGUUCCAGUUUCAAGAUUUUAGACAGAGUUAAGGAAGAUAACUUGAGAUGUGAUAAAGAUACCAGCAGUUGAGGCAGACAAUUGUUGAAGAAGUCAAGGAGAACCUGCCCCUCAUUAGAAAGAUGAUAGAAACCACAUUUCCCUUACGCCGACAGACCAUAGUGAUGUCCUGCCCACCAGUGAACAAGCUCAUGCACCUCUGGCCUGCUCUCAAAAUAGAGUCUGAGAUGUAUGCAGAGUUCCAGCGGAUUAGGAAUCAGAACCUGCCCAACACAUUCUAUGCUGAGCUUGACCGCCAUCUUCCUUGACUGAUGACCUAAUUCAGACAGAAGGCAUCAAAAACUGGGAAGACAGCAGAUGCCCUAGCUGACAUUUUAAAAAAUCCACAAUUAACAGGAAAUGCAUGGCAUCCACACCAAGCGCACUACUGUUCUCCACGCCCUUCCUGUGUAUCUGCGCGAGGAUGUUUCGGCAUUCUUCAGAACCUGCACAGUGAGUCUCCUUAAGUCACUAACAUAUUCUACUGUGUAUUAUGUAAA